GACGAACGCUGGCGGCGUGCUUAACACAUGCAAGUCGAACGGAAAGGCCCUGCUUUUGUGGGGUGCUCGAGUGGCGAACGGGUGAGUAACACGUGAGUAACCUGCCCUUGACUUUAGGAUAACUUCAGGAAACUGGGGCUAAUACCGGAUAGGAGCUCCUGCUGCAUGGUGGGGGUUGGAAAGUUUCGGCGGUUGGGGAUGGACUCGCGGCUUAUCAGCUUGUUGGUGGGGUAGUGGCUUACCAAGGCUUUGACGGGUAGCCGGCCUGAGAGGGUGACCGGCCACAUUGAGACUGAGAUACGGCCCAGACUCCUACGGGAGGCAGCAGUGGGGAAUAUUGCACAAUGGGCGGAAGCCUGAUGCAGCAACGCCGCGUGCGGGAUGACGGCCUUCGGGUUGUAAACCGCUUUCGCCUGUGACGAAGCGUGAGUGACGGUAAUGGGUAAAGAAGCACCGGCUAACUACGUG
rnacentral:rRNA from 1 species